CGGGCCGGGCGCUGGGCGCCGUACCUCAGGGAGGGUUCUGCUGCCUGAGGAGCUCUUGUUCACUGAGACACUGGUGUACAUUAGUGCAUAAAAAUACAUGAAUUCCUUUUCCUGGAGUUGACACCCUGGACAUAAGUAAGGGGUGGUAGUUGCUGCUCGGCGAGGAUGGAAGGAACUCAAGAAGAGGAACCUCUGGCCUUAGCACAGGU